CUUCUUGAUCAAUUGUAUUAUUGGAAUCCUCAUCAAACUGCUCAAAGAUAUCUUUACAUUUUCUUAAGCUCUCAUCAAUUUUUGGAAAUUUUAAGAUUAUGCUGUUGAAUGAUUUUAUGGCACAUCCUUCAGCUUCCCUCCUCCGGAUAGCCUCAGCCAAUUUUGAUUCAAGCUUUGUUUCUGGUAUCCACGUAUGUCUGGGUGAAUCAUCCUUUACCACCACACCUCCCAUUGUCAAUUAUGAGGCAAAAUGGGAUACAAGAUAUAAUGCUAGUUCAGUAUGUGCCAGAAACAACUUAGAGAUGGAGAGACACAACAGGACUUUUCCUAGUUUCCUCCUCGUAAAACUAUACAAGAAAUUUGUUAAGUAGAAAGCAGGAAUCAGCAGCACAAAAGAUGACAACGGCCCUCCAAAUUCCAAAAAGAAAGAUGACCCAGAAAAAGAAAGAGGUGGCUUGAUGCGGUUUGUUAUGUGAAAAUGA
rnacentral:misc_RNA from 1 species